rnacentral:rRNA from 1 species
CAGAGGUCCCAAGCGUUGUUCGGAUUCACUGGGCGUAAAGGGUGCGUAGGUGGUGAGGUAAGUCGGAUGUGAAAGCUCGGAGCUCAACUCCGAAAUGGCAUUGGAAACUACCUUGCUCGAGGGUUGGAGGGGGGACUGGAAUGCUUGGUGUAGCAGUGAAAUGCGUAGAUAUCAAGCGGAACACCAGUGGCGAAGGCGAGUCCCUGGACAACUCCUGACACCGAGGCACGAAAGCUAGGGGAGCAAACAGGAUUAGAUACCCUGGUAGUCCUAGCCGUAAACGGUGCACGUUUGCUGUAAAAGGAAUCGACCCCUUUUGUGGCGUAGCCAACGCGUUAAACGUGCCGCCUGGGAAGUACGGUCGCAAGAUUA